rnacentral:rRNA from 1 species
AUACGUAGGUGGCAAGCGUUGUCCGGAUUUAUUGGGCGUAAAGCGAGCGCAGGCGGUUUUUUAAGUCUGAUGUGAAAGCCCUUGGCUCAACCAAGGAAGUGCAUCGGAAACUGGAAAACUUGAGUGCAGAAGAGGACAGUGGAACUCCAUGUGUAGCGGUGAAAUGCGUAGAUAUAUGGAAGAACACCAGUGGCGAAGGCGGCUGUCUGGUCUGUAACUGACGCUGAGGAGCGAAAGCAUGGGGAGC